UACGGAGGAGGCAAGCGUUGUCCGGAAUUAUUGGGCGUAAAGCGUCCGUAGGUGGUUCACCAAGUCUGCUGUCAAAGGGUGGGGCUUAACCUCAUAAAGGCAGUGGAAACUGGUGAGCUAGAGUGCGGUAGGGGUAAGGGGAAUUCCCAGUGUAGCGGUGAAAUGCGUAGAGAUUGGGAAGAACAUCGGUGGCGAAAGCGCCUUACUGGGCCUGCACUGACACUGAGGGACGAAAGCUAGGGGAGCGAAAGGG
rnacentral:rRNA from 1 species